rnacentral:rRNA from 1 species
UACGGGGGGGGCAAGCGUUGUUCGGAAGUACUGGGCGUAAAGGGCUCGUAGGUGGCCAACUAAGUCAGACGUGAAAUCCCUCGGCUUAACCGGGGAACUGCGUCUGAUACUGGAUGGCUUGAGUUCGGGAGAGGGAUGCGGAAUUCCAGGUGUAGCGGUGAAAUGCGUAGAUAUCUGGAGGAACACCUGUGGCGAAAGCGGCGCACUGGACCACUUCUGACGCUGAGGCGCGAAAGCUAGGGGAGCAAACAGG